AAGCGUAUAGCGAAAUCGUGUAUAUCGAGUAUGGCGUAUAUCGGGUAAUACCUGUAUAGCCACCAGAGGAAGGCGCUGCUUCGCGUUCACAUGAAAAUGUGGUAGUGUGAAAUCAAGUUUGCAAGCGGUAGGCUACGUCGAUGCGUGCCCGUUUUUUUCUCUCGUGAAACCAGUACGGAAAAACUAUUUGGUAAGUACAGCUUUUAAUAAAGGAUUGUAUCAAUCUGUAUCAAACUGAAUGGUAUUAAUAAUUGGUGAUAUCAAAUCAAUUUCGUUUUCUAUAGAAAAUCGUAACACACGCACAAACGGAAGUGAGCACGGACCACGAUAGAAAUAAUUAAUUGGUUGUGCCAAAAACAAAAGGACAGGAGAGGCAGGAACGAUCAUUCAACGCGUUAGCGCCGGACGAAGGAGAAGCGGCAGGAAGGCAGGAACGAUCCUCCAACGUGCUCGCGCUCCAACGUGCUCGCGAAGGCAGGAACGCGCCUGGUAGAGGAGAGGCGGCAGGAAGGUAGGGACGAUCAUCCAGCACGCUAGCGCAGCACCUGGGAACAGCGAGGGGGAGGCAAGCAGGAAUAAUUUUUAACGCGUACACACCAUUCGACGAAGACAACGCUGAAUGAAAGGAAGAACGAGGAGAGAAGGCAGGCAAGACGGGUACGUGUGUAUUCCGCACCGGUUUUCGGCAGUGUGAAUUGUGUGAGUAUGUAAAUUUGUAUGUGCGAGUAAGAAGGUAAAAUAAAGAGCGUAAGCAUGUACGGAAUCGACAAA